rnacentral:tRNA from 1 species
AAGGGUAUAGCUCAAGUGGCAGAGCGCAUGCUUAGCAUGCAUGAGGUCCUGGGUUCAAUCCCCAGUACCUUCU